ACCACAAACCAUGUAUCGCAUUAGCAGCAGAAAUUCUCACCUCGAGGACGCUUCAGUCAUAUGUUCAGAGAGUCAACAUGGAGGUCUGUGCUCUUAACAUCAGGCUGUUGAUCUGUGUGUUAUUCCUGCUGGGUGCACAUGUUCAAAAUGUGGAUUCACUGAUUCUCCGUCUUGAACCAAACAGACUGCAGUUCUUUGACUACGAUUCUCUGAUCUUCCAUUAGGACAGUGGGCAAUACUGGUGUGAGUCCAGAGAUGGGAAGAGAAGCGACAUCAUCCACAUCACUGUUACUGAUGGUCCUGUGAUCCUGGAGAGUCCCAUCAGUGUGGUGGAGGGAGAGACUGUGACUCUGCGCUGCAGACACAAGACGACCUCUACCAAUCUCUCAGCUGAUUUCUACAAAGAUGGCCACAAUAAUAGUAGAAGCUCUACAGGAAACAUGAGCAUCCCCAGUGUUUCCAAACGUGAUGAAGGAUUCUACAAGUGUAUCUCUGGAGGAAGAGAAUCAGCCGAGAGUCUGAUGGCUGUCCAAGAAUCACACCAAGAGAUUCAUGAGUCCUCAGAGCUUCCGUUCAUCAUCUUCAGAAACGUUCUCCCUGUAGUAUUGAUGGCUUUGCUGCUGCUGGGACGGCUCCACUGUGGGAUAACUCCGAGGUAAACCCACAGGUAAACAACAGCACCUUGUGCACUCAAAUCGAGAUGGAGAUACUGAAAUAAAGGAUACGACGGGAUGAACAACAAAAACAGACAUUUUCUCCAAAGUCUUGUUUGGUUGCCAGAAAUGAAGAGCAUCCCAUAAUGCUUCAUUCAGCUACUCAGCUGCUGUCUUCCUUGUUAUAGUGCACCUUGUUCAUUAUAUGUAAUGAUGAUCCACUUAAAUUCAGUGCAUGUUGUGCAAACCAAUGAAAACAUUUUUAAUCAGCUUAAAGAAUCCAAUCCAUAGAAAUGUUUUGAAAUGAGCAGAUCAAAGAAAAUGGCAGCACUUCCUGUUUGACAGGUUUCACAUAUUUAAUUCAGAUGUUGAUGAAUGUUCAACAGAAGUUCGUUCUUCUUCUGUAUAAGGACCUGAAGAUAUCACAAGUCAAAUAACAUUGUGCACAGUUUGUUUCAGUGUCUUUCUAUAUUUAAUAUUCACAUCUGAGACCACGUCUUCUCUAACCCUGACCCACGAGCCACAACUCAUCUCAGCGUUAUUUAUAGAGCACCUGUCAUACGUAAAGUCUGUGAGCCCAUAAUGUUUGUGUGAACACCGUCACUGUUAAAAAAAGACCCGAGAUUAAAAUUGUCUAUAAAACCCACAUCAUGUGCUGCCCAAGCAAUCAGCAGGUGCAGCGCGGAGCUUCACUUCCUGCUCAUAUCUAAAUAAAAUAUCAACAUAUAAUACGAACAUUUGUGAUGGUAACAUGAACAUUUAAACUGUAAUAUUCCACUGAAUGUUUUUAGAUCAACAACAAUGCAAAACAUGUCUGUC